UGGCGGCACUAGCGCGGUGGUCCCACCUGACCCAUGCCGAACUCAGAAGUGAAACGCCGUAGCGCCGAUGGUAGUGUGGGGUCUCCCCAUGUGAGAGUAGGGAACUGCCAGGCA
rnacentral:rRNA from 1 species